AGAGCUGCCUGGUCCUGCAGCUCUCCUGGAGUGAGGUGGUGCUGCUAACCACUGGAAGCUGAAGUCCAGAGGCUCUAUUCAGUCAAGGGGUGAUGAACUCUCUUUGGGUCUGGAGACAGGCUGGAACUGGGAUGAGAUAUGGAGACCCUGCCAUUUACGACAACGUGGAUGUAUCUGCAGGACAUUAAGACAAGUGCAAUAAGCAAGACACGGAAAGAAAAUAUAGCAUGGUCUCUCUUAUAUGUGGAAUUUUAAAAAUUAACUCUGAAUACUUUGGAUUAAACUGAUGCAGCAGUCAUCCAAGAGAUGUCCACAUAUGUACUCCUGUUAAUGUUAGUUCCUUUCAUCCAAGCCAUCAGAGGUUCUCCCUGGAUCUCAUUUUUGGGGUGAUGUCCUAUACUUUUUUUUAAAUCUCCAUUAACUCCUCUCCUUAGUGGUUUUAAUGGCAUAUUCAUACAAUAUUAGAAUGAAAUUUGUGAGUCAAUAUUAAUUUCCAGGUUCAUAGUCUCACAGCUUGAACACAAACUAUUCAGACCUUUGAAAUUACCUUUAUUUCUUUACUUCCAGAGUAGCUGACUUUUUCAUUCUCUGCUGGAGCGUUUGGGCUGAUUCAUCACCCCCUCCCCCACCACCAUUCACUGAAUGUAGCCACUGGUCGUGGCUGCCUUUUCUGCUAUUUUAUAGAACCAAGCCUGAAUCUAUAAAGCGCUUCCCUUGGUACCUCCCAGAAACUUUUUAUUGCCUGUCUCUUUCUGUCAACUCAGUUGCAGAAAAAUACAUUUUAUGGCUCCAGUAAUUUAAGAAAGCUCUGAAAAAUCAAAUCUGUCCAUGGCAGUGCUAGCAUACUGUCUAUUAGAUUAAAUGAAGCUGUAAGCAUCUUUGAAGUACAAAUGAUACUUGGAAAGUAAAUGAAACUGGGAAUACUUGCAAGUAAAAUAUGGGAAGUCAAAGAGAUUAAAGGAUGAGAACCAGAAAUUGCUUAUGGCCAGUGUCCUGAGUAAGCCUCAGAAUCGCAUCCUAGAAGCAUCAAGUUCUUGUGUUACCCUAUGGAUCUAAAAAACGACUUCCUUAGUUUGAUGUAGUCUGCAGACAUCUCAUCAUCACAAAAACUUGAAAGCACUUACAGCACUAAGAAACUACCUUUGCAGAUUGUAAAAAAAGAUAGAAUCCUACUUAGUGUUUUGAUCACACCUGCCUAUUUCCCCAAGGUUUUACUGCAGGGUUAAAGAAUGAAUAAGCAUCUAGUUAUAUUUAAUAAACUCCAUGCCUUAUGGCUGAUUCUAAAGGCA
rnacentral:lncRNA from 1 species